rnacentral:rRNA from 1 species
UGGGGAAUUUUCCGCAAUGGGCGAAAGUCUGACGGAGCAAUGCCGCGUGGAGGUGGAAGGCCUACGGGUCGUCAACUUCUUUUCUCGGAGAAGAAACAAUGACGGUAUCUGAGGAAUAAGCAUCGGCUAACUCUGUGCAAG